CACUGAAGCCACCCCUGUAACCCCCCCACUACCAAAACCUUGCCACACAAACCCAAUACAAGGACCUUCUUCUGAGGGUGAGGUUUGUCCCAGUAGCUGUGUCCCCUCCAGUCCAAUUCAUGCACAACCACGCAAGCAGUUGUCGCAGGGAGGAAGCAGGGUUUGGGAGCAGGAGUGAUGGCUGCUGGGGUGCAGAGGAAUUGCUUCAGCUGCUGUGGAAGCGCUUGCGGAACAACAGCCUCCAGAAACCUUACCAAAGCAGCUGGACAGGCAGGAUACGAUUCCCUGAGCAGCUUAAACAGCCAGCAAAGGACGUCCCGGCUCCCACUGCCCCUGCUGUUUCCCUUCUCUUGCCUCAACACCCAUCAGUGCCUUUGCAGGUGAGCAGUGAUUUGGGUCAGUGCACAGCAUCCACGAACAAUUUAACCUUAGAAAACAACAAUUAGUUCCUGGUAGUUGGGCAAGCAGGAGUGGCUUCCCAUGCAGCCACAACUGCAGUGACACAACCAAGGGCGUGGGACCUGCAGCUGCAGGAGAGGAAAGGCGGGACCGUGCAGCAAGGCCUUACAUCAGUUUACAACAAUUGCGUAAGCAAUCAUUAGGGAGCAUAACCGCAGGGCUUUAAGCCAGGAAUACAUUAUGCCAAAAAUUAUGAAAGUAUCUGAACACCUUCCUGCUCGGUAUUCUGCAAACUAUACGUUGCUUGGUCUCUCCCCAGGAGAAAUGCCUGUCUACCACAGCAUCUUCUUCCAUGGACCCUUUCCUGUGCAUGCACACUUGUGCUUUUUUUUUUUUUUGCCUUUUUUUUUUUUUUUUUUUUUUUUUUUAAACUCUUCAACUUGAAUUAGACAAGACAAGAUCAAAGAAAUUCACAGACCUGGUCAGCUCCCUGCCAUGAUGUCAACUGCCCUUUUUUAAAAGAAGGUGCAUUCCUGUGGACUAAUGUACAUGUGAUUGCAUAGUGUGGCCACUGGAUGUUGUCACUGCUCCUUAAUUUAUAAGAAUGCCACAAUCUCUGAAUUACUGUCCCCUGGAGAAACAAGGUACUCCCAAAAUACAAGGCAGCUCCAACAUGAGCUACAGCUGUUGACAGAGCACAUAAAACCACAAGUACUAGAACAUCUGAAUAAUGACAACGGGGAACAAAGCAAAUAUCACAUCUUACAGAAAAUCUAAAACAUCCAUGAUGCUUUAAAUAACCAAGGAAGCCUGGACUCCAGUUAUUGCUCCAAUGAUUUACAAAAACAUCAA